AGGGACCAGGAUGAUGGCUGACCAAAUCCAGCUGGUGAUGAAGCCGGAGGUGCACGGCGGCCAGAGGCGGUGGCAUGUCGUGCCGGCAGAAACUGCAGAGCAAGGUGGCCGGUACUCAGUGAUAAUCUCAUCACAGCAGCAGGUCGAAGUGCAGUGCGGACCUACACAUGAAAAAUCUAAAAAUCUGAAUUGGUUUCU
rfam:Oryza sativa (indica cultivar-group) chromosome 8, whole genome shotgun sequence.